GAGCACUAUCCCUUCAGCUUGUUCAGAGUGUAGCCUUAGGUCUUUUCCCAGUUGGAAAUGCCUGAAAUACCUUCGUAGGAAGACUUCCGCAAGGCAUCUUGAAUUGCCUCGUCUGUCUCUUUGCAGCACAACAGGAGCAGCGGUUCAAUCCGAAGGAGCCUCCGGGGGUCCCUCCGGAUGUCUGAGCUCCUCGCCCUGUCCCUGAGGGGGAGCCCCAGACACGCCAUGGAGGAAACAUAUGGAAGCGGUGCGCCUUCUCCACAACUCCGAGACGAACUACAGGCGCUACGAACCGGAGCAAGGACUAAUCUCGCCUCACAAUGAGGCGGUGACCUCGUAUUUGCCCCGGGAAAAGUCCAGAUUUAGACGACGUCAUUGUGUCCGCCUGUGAGACGUAUUGUGAGGCGGGACGCAGGAGCUUCAGGUUCAGGCGGAACACUCAUUACGUGCGGAAGCUGCGAAGGAUUCAGCGCAGAGUCGAGCGAGAAGAAAGAGGGUCAGAGUUUAUUUGCCGACUUUUUUUCAGGUGCAUUGAUCGAUGUGUUGUAUCCGUACGCAUCGCAUCGCACAGUACUGAUUCAUUGUUGUUUUUACAACUGCUGGAAUCGAGACAAAGUGUGCUGGCUGAUGACGAGGUGGAACUCUGGAACUCCGCCACCGUGGAGCUCACGUCGGACGGAGGGGACGGCGUCGUUGGCGGGGUCUCGGGGCGGAUUGUACGGUCGCCACACGCACACGAGCCGCCUGCACAACAGACCUGCCUCGGAAAACACGGCGCCAGUGACGGUCAACAACCCCGAGGAGGCAAACGGACAGUUUACUGAGCUGUAGUUUUUAAACCGCCUUUACCCAAGUGUGGGCAGAUCCUCACUUUGUAUGUAGUUGUUGUUUGUGUGUUGUUAAUAAAGCUCUUUCUUUGCAUAAA
ensembl:lncRNA